GACGAACCGUGCGAACGUUGUUCGGAAUCACUGGGCUUAAAGGGCGCGUAGGCGGGCGGUCAAGUCAGAGGUGAAAUCCCACGGCUCAACCGUGGAAGUGCCCCUGAUACUGGCCGUCUCGAGGGAGGUAGGGGCGUGCGGAACUUCCGGUGGAGCGGUGAAAUGCGUAGAUAUCGGAAGGAACACCGGUGGCGAAAGCGGCGCGCUGGAUCUCUACUGACGCUGAGGCGCGAAAGCCAGGGGAGCAAACGGG
rnacentral:rRNA from 1 species